rnacentral:miRNA from 10 species
AGUGACCAGAAGGCGAGUGUGAGCCCUCUGUCAUGCCCAGACAGGACAACUAGAGGGCUCCUUGGUCUAGGGGUAAUGCCA